rnacentral:lncRNA from 1 species
CUUUUUAGGGCCGUACUGCAGCAUAUGGAGGUUCCCGUGCUAGGGGUCGAAUGAGAGCUGUAGCUGCCAGCCUACACCACAGCCACAGCCAAGGUGAGAUCCAAGCCUCAUCUGUGACCUACACCACAGAUCACAGCAAUGCCAGAUCCUUAACCCAACGAGCAAGGCCAGGGACUGAACCUGCAUCCUCAUGGAUACUAGUCAGACUCAUUUCUGCUAAGCCAUGAGGGAAACUCCUGAAAUCUUACUCUGAUGCGAGAAGACAACUCCCUAUAAACUAGCCUCCAGAACAGUGAGGAAUAAACUUCUGUUGUUUUUAAGCCACCCCGUCUAUGGUACUUCAGCAGCCUGAACUAAGACACCAUUUCAAAAUGGUGGUCAGGGCAUAUGAAAGAUCCCAUCACAGUUAUAAAAAAGUAUACAUACCUACCACAAUUCAAAGACUAUCAUGGGCCUGAGAGGUUUCAACAAAUAUCUGAAGCUGUAAAAGGAUGAGGAAAUACUAGCUGACAGAGCUUACAGCCUCAGAGGGAGAGCUGCUGCUGAAGAGGGCGAUAAGUGACUUACCCAGGGAAAGAGGCUCCAGACUCAGAAAAAGCAAGUACAUACAAUAUGGGCCAGAAAGGACAACACGAGUGGAAAGGAGAAGAUUAACUGAAAAGUCUGAGUAUCAACAACUGUUACUUCCAUGCCUAAGUCCUAUCUUUAUAAGAAACAACAAACCUUAUAGGACCCCAGGCAAAAACAAAAACUUUAAAAAGGGAAAUGAUUCUCUUAAGAAAUUAAACAAAAUGUCUGGGAGAACUAAACAGCUAGUGCAUCUGUUAGUCUGAGAACCCCAAAGUCAAGCCCUCCUCACUCUGAUACUUAGCAAGUCUCCAACACGAGGGCUGGCUCUGUGCCACCAGAAGGAGGCUACCGGUGGCAAUACGCAGCCACACAUACAGAGUGCCACAUCAUCUUUAUAUGAAUGAACAGUUAAGGAUAAAGAUCCAUUUAAAGAAACCCUGCAGUGUGAAAGUGGAAAACCAAAAUAAACAAUUAAAAGACCCUGGAAGAAACAGAAAAUUCAAAGGAAUAAAGCUAUUUCAUUGAGAACCCCCAAGACAACCUUUAUUAGUGCUCCUAAAAAAUAUUUGAUAAUUACACCCACAUAAGAACAACAACAGGAGUUCCCAUCAUGGUUUGGUGGAAAAAAAUCUAACUAGCAUCCAUGAGGAUGCAGGUUCGAUCCCUGGCAUCUCUCAGUGGGUUAAGGAUCCAGCACUGCCGUGAGCUGUGGUGUAGGUUGCAGAUGUGGCUCGGAUCCUAAGUUGCCGCGGCUGUGGCCGGCAGCCAUAGCGCCAGUUUGACUCCUCGCCUGGGAACCUCCAUAUGCCGUGGGUGGGGCCCUAAAAAGACAACAACCAAAAAAAGAACAACGACCAUCAAGAAAAGGUGCUCUGGAAUUAAAAAUGUGGCCCCAGACCCCAAGGGUCAGUGAAUACCACGUGUGUGCGCCUGGGUACUCUGACCUCAAAGCUACGACUCUGAUGACGUCAUCCUGUGGCACAGACAAUCCCUUACCUAAGAUGUGGUAUAUUUAUAGCACAGUCAGAAAUUCAAAACAGCACACAUAGAACAUGCUCAUGGGAGGGAGACAGAGACAUGAAGCCCCAUUGUUCAAGAAAAUCUGAGCCUGUUUUUAACUCCUCUACUAGCUUACAGGAUGAUCUGUAAGCUUCUCUCCAUUCCUUGUCUGUCCUUUCCUACAGGACAGGAGAAAACAAAGGUCGUGUGUGUAGAGUGACACAAUGAAGACUCCUGGAAAGUAUUAGUAAGAGCUGGCUUGGUGGGAAGACUUCAAGACACUAAGACAUGUUAAUGAAGUACAUGUGAAAUCUUCCCCGGAGAACUUCACCUACAAGAUAAACGCCCCUCCCAUCUGAGUGAUUUGCAUACUGUCCUCCCUGUAACUAGAAAGAGGAAUGGGAUCAUUGGUUCAAAACCCCACUACUCUGAAAGCCUUCUUUUUAUAACCAAAAAAUUCCAUAAUGCCCUAUUUAUUAUUCUGAAAUAAAAUUCAUUGAUAAAUAUUAACUCGUAUACAUUUUAUUUUAUUUUAUUUUACUUUACUUUUGUCUUUUUGCCUUUUCUAGGGCCGAACCCGCGGCAUAUGGAGGUUCCCAGGCCAGGGGUCGAAUCAGAGCUGUAGCUGCUGGUCUAUGCCAGAGCCACAGCAAUGCGGGAUCCGAGCCGCGUCUGUAACCUACACCACAGCUCAUGGCAAUGUCAGAUCCUUAACCCACUGAGCAAGGCCAGGGAUCAAACCCACAACCUCAUGGUUUUUAGUCGGAUUUGUUAACCACUGAGCCACAGUGGGAAUUCCCACAUUGUUUUUAAAACAUCAAUAUAAUACUCUAUGUGUAAUGUAAAGGAGAACCUAAAAAGAAAAACAAUUUUUAAUAAUAUUUCAAUAUGUAAACAAUUUUCAGGUCCAAUUAACUGUGUAAUGAAAUAGAUGCAUAUUGUUUACUUAUAUAAAGAAUAAACUUGAAUUAAGAGAAGUCAAAUCAGAAGAGUCCCAUAUUAAAAGCACAGGAAAACAAAAGAAAGGAAUAGGCGGACAACAGAAAUGAAAGUGAAUAUAUUCUGUGUAUAUUAAAAGUAUGAAAACAUUUGUGUUUUUAUAUAAAACGGGCUUAAGCCUAGGCUCAGAUAAUUAUAAACUAAUUUUUCACUGCGUGAAUAUCCAACAGGAUAGCUGAAACUCAUGUGGGAGACGGGUCAACACUUUCUGUCUUUUCCACUGUGAGACAUUUAAAAUCUGAUUCCCAUCCAUCCAAUGCCCUACCACUGCAGGAUCCAACAGGGUCCCAGAUUUCUACUAUGCCCUCUAGGGGGCGGCACUGCUCCCAUGAAAACCCCUGGUUGAUGACCUAUGGGCGUUUCCUUCUAGCCUUCAGUCUAUCACAGAGAAGCAAAUCCUGAAGACAAAUUCAGCAACAUCCCUGAGAAAAAUACUGAUUCAACAUGGCAAAUGACUAUAAAAAAUGAAUUGAGACGUACGUCAUUAACUAUAGCCAUAUUCAACAUUAUUUCCACUUUCUGAAUUCAAGAGGAUUGGUUACUCCAUAUAGACAUGGAGUGAAAAGCUAUAGUUCUGUGUCAUUUAUUUAGAUAGCACAAAGUGAUUCUGAGUUUAGAAUUUUUCUUCUCAACUAGUUAAUUAAUGAUGAAAAGGGAAUUUUUCACAGAGCUCUACAACUCUCAUUUCCUCAAAACAAGAAUUAAUGCAUUCUUUCAUAUGUGGUCAUUACAGGAAGGGGGGGGGGAGCCAUUUACUGUAAAUGCCUUUCUGAUGCAAUUCUACCACCUCUUUCAAAGAGGGAAUUCAUCCAAGAAGCCUUAGUCACUUCUUCAAGAAAAAUGCCACUGCACUGAACAUACACAGGCGGAAUCCCCUGCCCGAGGAGAGGAGCAGAGCUGGUCUCACCAGGAGAAAACAGGGAGGAGUGGCAGGGGGAGAGAUCUCACAGCUUCUUCCUCAGAACAGAUGUCUCAAAAUGUGGCCUUUAUACAGGAAAAGUCUGACACAUCUAUAACAUCACUGCUUUGUAAAUCAGAUGCAAACACCAAUUUUCCCCACCCAACUUUUAAGGCCCUUCUUCCCCAAAAAAAUAUGAGACUUCUGUUCUGAACCAGGAACCUAUGUAUAAUUAGUAUCUGAGCAACUAUAAUUAUUUCAUUUUAAAAACUUCACACACAGAAGGAAAAAUGAAAUCCUAUACUUAAAUAUUUGAAAAUGAAAUUACAUUUUGAAGCGGGUGAAUUUCACAGUAAAGAGAUGAUGACAUAUAGUGUAAUACUACAAAGCAAUUCAGAGGAAAAAGAAACUUAAGACAAAUAGUUCUGAGCUCUUUCCAAACAGAGGACUAUUUUUUCUAAAAUCUGAAACCCACCCCAAGGGAAAAGAGGGAACUAUUUCUCCAAUUAAUCCUUACCUGGAUUUCCACUGAUUCUUUUAACAGCCAGAUGUACCCUCUUGCUUCUAUGGAGGAGUCAAUGUAAAGCCCAAAGCCCAGAAGUCACCCGAUCAAGACCGUUUGCUGCUGGAGCCCAAAAUCCCCUUGAUGAAUAAAACUGCACAUCGUAAUAUACACGUUCUGAGCAAGCUAUUGGUUAAGUGAAGGCAAUGCGUGUGGAAGUCUGAUUUGCCACCUUCGGGGCAUGCCUCUCAUAUCCCAUCUCAGAAAGACGAAAGACACACCACAUCUGAGUGAGUCAAAACUAGACAGGGUUCAUUUCUUCUGCAGCAUUCUCCCCAACACUACGGAAACCACAGGAAGGACCAACCACAGCGAGAUAGGACUCCCUCAGCAGGCAAAGUCAAUGAAGAAUUAUGUCGACACUGCAAUUCACAAAUAAAUCUCAGGCCACUGCCAGAGUUUUCUGUGUUAUGUGACUGCUUAAGAGUUAUAUAUAAGGACAAGCAUGGGACACAUAUCUUCAAGCCAAGAAUUCUGAGCCAUGGUUUAGGGGUGCAGAAUUAACAAGGAGUGGUAACAAUUCUCCAAAGAAGUUUUAAUCUUUAGGCUACACUGAUGAUCUACCAAGAAAAAUGGAGCAAUGGUGUAACUGAUCUUCUUGGAAUGAGGGGUUUUCAACAUGCAGUUCUUGGACCAUGUGCACCAGGGUGACCUAAGGUUGACUCAAGAGUAUCUGAAGUGGAGCCCGGGAAUCUGCAGGUUAUUCUUAAAUCCUUUCAAGCUGGAGGACGGUGCUUCCUGCCAGCAGAAUGAACAGCUGAUUAUAGCUGCUACCAUCUUCCCUGCUCCUCAUUCAGUUAUCUUGUCCCGUACUCCCGCUGAAAUCAGGAGCAGUAAGGACAUGAAAGCCACCUCAGUCCAGAGGCUUUCAUUCCAGGGGAAAGGAGAGCCUGCCUGGGUUCGCCUGGCCUCUCCUCCACACCCAGCUCUCCAUCUCCACUGAGACACAAGCUCAGGCUACAGUCCUUGAGGCUGAAUGUGAACAUAACAUCCAAAGAUGCUCCCCCUGGAAAACAAAAAGACGCUGCUAAGAACAAGAGGAGGAAAAUGAGGAGAGAGGAAACUCAUGUUUACUGACGACUCACAAUGUUGCAGGCACCACAUCAAGAACUUUAUAGACAAUUUUCGUUGUCAUAGAAGUCUCACCAAAAACCCCAAAACCAAAACAAAAAUCCCUUCUUCAGAAGAGUAUGAACAUACAAACUUGGAGUCUCUGUAGAGAACGCACUGCUGGUAGGGCCCUGCCGGCAAUGCAUCCCUCCACGCAAGACUUCCCUCAGCCACAUGUGCUCAGCUCCACCCCCAUUAUCCUCUAAACAUAAAGGGGUUUUUAAAAGGAAACUAAGAAACACUGUCAGAAAUGUACUUAAAAUGAUAUCACCUU